GAUGAACGUUGGCGGCGUGCUUAAUACAUGCAAGUCGAGCGAACGGGCGGGAACCUUGCCUCUGUGAUGGUAGCGGCGGGCGGGUGAGUACCAAGUGGAUAUCCCUCCUGGUCGACCGUGAUUACUUCGAGCAGCGGGUAAUAACACAGGAUGAAACUUCGCAACACCGAGACCGAAGGUAAAACUAUGGCUCGCGAAGACUAGUCUACGUUUCAUGAGCUAGUUGGCGAGGUAACGGCCUACCGAGGCAACGAUGCAUAGCUGAUCUGCGAGGCUGAUCGGCCACACUGGAACUGAGACACGGUCCAGAGUCCUAGGGGAGGCAGCGGGAGGGAAUCUACCGCAAUGGGCGAAUGCCUGACGGAGCAACGCCGCGUGAGUGAGGAAGGUCUUCGGAGCGUAAAACUCUGUUAUUAGGGAGGAACAGAUGUGUAAGUAACUGUGCACAACUUGACGGUACCUAAUCAGAAAGCCACGGCUAACUACGUG
rnacentral:rRNA from 1 species